rnacentral:tRNA from 1 species
CAGCUAGCUCAGUGGUAGAGUGCUUGCCUAGCAUGCAUGAGGGCCUGGGUUCGAUUCCUCAGCUG